rnacentral:rRNA from 1 species
GGGUGCUUGCACCUGGUGGCGAGUGGCGAACGGGUGAGUAAUAUAUCGGAACGUACCUUAUUGUGGGGGAUAACGCAGCGAAAGCUGUGCUAAUACCGCAUAAUCCCUUAGGGGGAAAGCGGGGGACCGUAAGGCCUCGCGCAAUUAGAGCGGCCGAUACCUGAUUAGCUAGUUGGUGAGGUAAAGGCUCACCAAGGCAACGAUCAGUAGCUGGUCUGAGAGGACGAUCAGCCACACUGGGACUGAGACACGGCCCAGACUCCUACGGGAGGCAGCAGUGGGGAAUUUUGGACAAUGGGGGCAACCCUGAUCCAGCAAUGCCGCGUGAGUGAAGAAGGCCUUCGGGUUGUAAAGCUCUUUUGUCAGGGAAGAAACAGCAGCUCUAACACAGUCUGCGAAUGACGGUACCUGAAGAAUAAGCACCGGCUAACUACGUGCCAGCAGCCGCGGUAAUACGUAGGGUGCAAGCGUUAAUCGGAAUUACUGGGCGUAAAGCGUGCGCAGGCGGUUAUGUGAGACAGGCGUGAAAUCCCCGGGCUUAACCUGGGAAUUGCGCUUGUGACUGCAUAGCUAGAGUAUGUCAGAGGGGGGUAGAAUUCCACGUGUAGCAGUGAAAUGCGUAGAGAUGUGGAGGAAUACCAAUGGCGAAGGCAGCCCCCUGGGAUAAUACUGACGCUCAUGCAC